AACAAAAUAUGUAAAUUCAAAAAGUUGAAUAAUUUAAAAUGAAAUUUUUUAAAAAAUAACACUUAUCGGCUGCAGCUCUUUAUCGCUCCAAGAAAUAUAUACCGAACUAGCGGACCGCACUCGAGACGCAUGUAUUCGCGGCAAAAA